rnacentral:tRNA from 1 species
CGGGGCGUGGCGCAGUCCGGCUAGCGCAUCUGCUUUGGGAGCAGAGGGUCCUGGGUUCAAAUCCCGGCGCCCCGACCA